ACAGUACAAGAAAAAUAAUUAACAGACAAUCUGCAAUACACAAGUGUGAGGAUGAUGAUACAGGCUCAUAUGCAGCUCUUGACCUCAAAUCCAGAUCAUCUGAUGUCUACGACACACUCACAACUGUCCAUCCCAUACCUGAUGUUCAGCAGUCAGACUCUUCUGAAUAUGAGAAUCUGUCCAUAAGAAGUCCAUAUCACCAAUGAAGAAGGAAAUGUCCUCACGACUAGUAGAUUCAAGUCAGUGUAAUCCUUCACGGAGUGAAAAUAGAUUUCACAUACAGUAUAUGACUGAUCACUAUAUUAAAUGGUUUAACAGUAGAUUUGAAAAUAUACAGAAUAAUAUAUUGUGUUAAUAUGUUACAGUAAAUUGAAUAAUACAUAAGGAAUUGCCGCUUUUCAUAUAUUGAAAAAUGUACCAAUGUUUACUAAAAUAUCAUAAUGUAUGUAAUUUUAAAUUCAGUAAUACACUUCAUAAUAGAUAAAUGAGGGAUCAGAUAUGGUAUUCCAUGUGUAAAAAAUUGCUCAUGAAAUAUAAACACUCAUGCAAUAUAAACACAUAAAAAAUAUAUAAUGCAAUAUA